UGUCCAGUAGCACCUUAGAGACCAACUAAGUUGGUUCUGGGUAUAAGCUUUCAUGUGCAUGCACACGAAAGCUUUUACCCAGAACCAACUUAGUCGGUCUCUAAGGUGCUACUGGACA
rnacentral:miRNA from 1 species